rnacentral:rRNA from 1 species
AUUGAACGCUGGCGGCAGGCCUAACACAUGCAAGUCGAGCGGAGCGGCGGACGGGUGAGUAAUGCCUAGGAAUCUGCCUGGUAGUGGGGGAUAACGUCCGGAAACGGGAGGUAAUACCGCAUACUAGCAGAGGAGGCUAGGGGGGAUUAGCUCGUUGGUGGGGUAAAGGCCUACCUAGGCGACGAACCGUAACUGGUCUGAGAGGAUGAUCAGUCACACGGGAACUGAGACACGGUGCAGAAUCCUACGGGAGGCAGCAGUGGGGAAUAUUGGACAAUUGGCGAAAGCCUGAGCCAGCAACGCCGCGUGAAGGAAGACGGUCUUCGUAGUGUAAACUUCUUUAGACAGGGACGCGGUACCUGUAGAAUAAGCCACGGCUAACUACGUGCCAGCAGCCGCGGUAAUUC